GGUGCAAGCAACGUGUCAUUGUGGUUAAAAAAAUGAAUCAGUAUACAUGUGAUUUAACUGUCAAAGCCGGAAUGUUUAAAGCAUACAUCCCGCCCAAGGCAUGCUGGGAUGAUCUCCUAUCAGGCAGCUUGGAAACUUCCAGACGCCGAUAUGCCUUACGUUCGGUGCAGCCGAGGUUAUGAACUGUCAAGUGGAAUAUGCCCCUUGAGGAAAACAAUUAGGAUCGACUGUCCAGCGAGGAGAUUGCGGAAUCAGCAACUGACAUAUUGACUGAUGAAACAUGAUGGUGCGUGCAGCAAGAGAGGGUUUGACUGCAGAUCCUGACCACCUGCUCCUGUAAAUUUGUACCAACCACAGGCGAAAACAAGAAGAAACGCUUUGAAUACCUGCGGUCUUCUAUCAGCUAGACAAGUCCCUGAAGCUAUAAAUCAAUAAACUUUGAUGUAUUCUGCUUUGGAGGUAUAAAGCAAUGAAAUAUGAAUUCUUUUCGAAUGGUGCAUGUUUUUUUUUCUUCAGAAAAUUUCUUGUGAGCACGCACAACCCGAGCAACAAAAGUAAAGGACUGACAAUCACCCUCUUUUUGGCUGCCCUCUGGGUUUCAGCUGUCCUGCAGUACCAGCAUUUAUGGGGGCUCCACUCAGUAUAACAGCUCUACCCGUGGCCCACCCACCCAGAUGUCGCCUAACAAAGGGUAUGUGCCUCUUUUUUCUUUCGAUCUUCUUUCUGCGACACAU